UUCAUUUUUUCACCUGAGGCCCUUCCUUGUCUCCCUUGAUUUUCUUUGCUGUUCGAUUAUGAUUGGUUGACGACUGAUAUAAAAUGCAUCGGUUUUGUUUCCUCCACUGCAAUCAAUAAAAAAAGGUAAUGGAAAAGGAAAUGGUUUUCACAUCAUACACCAACCUAAUGUGGAAAUAUAUAAUAGAUUUAAUUAAUAAACCAAACAUGGUGCACAAUAUAGAUGCACAGUUCAAUAAUAGUUUAGAUCCAUUUAGGAAUGAGAUUAUAGAGGAAUAUUCUAAAAAAUUAAAAUCUACAAAUGGCCCAGUAGUUUAUAAAAAUGGAGAAAUUUUAGAAUAUAAUGCUGACAUGGAGCUGGUGAUCCCAAAGGAAAAAACUUGCAGAAUAUUCAUUAUUACACAUGAUAAACAAUAUAUUUUUAAGGGACUCGGCUGUUAUUAUGGUUGUGGCUAUGUCUUGACUGCCUUACAUGUAGUUAAGGGUCCACGUUUAGGGAUACUCAUUGCUUUUCCUACUAAAGACGUUAAACUGAUCUACAAGGCUGAGUUUACUGAAUUUUGUAACCGUGACAAAGAUCGAGAUCUGGCUUUUGUUAAAUUACUAGGCAAUACUAGUCCCCUUGGAGAUGGUUUACAAAAUCAGAUCGCUGAAGUGGAUAUAAAUGACAGUAUAUACUUUUAUACCUGGGAUCCUAAUGGUAAUUUUCAGAAGCAGGAGGGUGUAAUCUUAGACCAAAAUUCAAGCAAGUUUUUAAUGUCUGUAGCAGGUAAACCUGGAGACAGUGGCUCACCUGUUUUCAAUUCUAAACAUGAACUGAUUGGCAUAUAUCAAGGUGUCAUCCAGAAAUACGGCAUUGGUUGUAAAAUAUUUCCGCGCUUUUCACCCUGGCGCAAAACGAAUGAUCAUAAUCUCACAAAAUUUCUCAAAUUUCUUAAAAAUAAGUUAUAUAAGUUAUAUAUAGUUAAAAAAAUUGUUUAUUUAAAAAAUAUAUUUUAUACAUAUAUAUAUAUAUUAUAAUACAUUAUUAUAUACAUUAUUAUUAUUAUUAUUAUUAUGGAAGGCAGAAAGGUAGGUCAAGGUGGAAUCCUGUGGAAACCAUUUCCUUUUCCAAUUUACCUGAUGGCUGCCCAGAGUGAGGUGCGCAAAUUUAAGUACUCUUUCCAUCCAUCCAUCCAUCCAUCCAUCUUCUACCGCUUAUCCGGGGCCGGGUCGCGGGGGCAGCAGUCUGAGCAGGGACACCCAGACCUCCCUCUCCCCAGACACUUCCUCCAGCUCCUCCGGGGGAAUACCGAGGCAUUCCCAGGCCAGCCGAGAGACAUAGUCCCUCCAGCGUGUCCUAGGUCUUCCCCGGGGCCUCCUCCCGGUUGGACAUGCCCGGAACACCUCCCCAGGGAGGCAUCCAGGAGGCAUCCGGAACAGAUGCCCGAGCCACCUCAGCUGAAUGUGGAGGAGCAGCGGCUCUACUCUGGGCUCCUCCCGAGUGACCGAGCUCUUCACCCUAUCUCUAAGGGAGUGCCCAGCCACCCUGCGGAGGAAACUCAUUUCGGCCGCCUGUAUCCAGGAUCUUGUCCUUUCGGUCAUGACCCAAAGCUCAUGUGUGUCAACAGCUUUGUGUCAGCCAAAUAAGAACACACAGUCAGCCGUGCAGCUGAGGAGACUUCUCAGGAUGUUUUGCAAAAGUAUGAGAUCAUGAGAAGACCUGAUAGGAUGCUGACAGAAGCAGAAUGACCGUUAUGAGAUCAUACUAAGAAAUGUUAUAAAUAGGGUUUUAGAACCAGUUAUCAGUGUGCAUUCACCUUGAGGUGAGCUCAUUGUGUUAUACUCUGUUUUUGCUUAUAGAGGGUGCAUCAGGAGAACAAACGCAAACUUACGCUAGAAUUGUUUGACUAUUUGAAGGAGAUUUUUUUUGUAAUUUUCUUUUCUUUUACAUUACAUAUAUUACACACAUCUGAUUUUAUGUAACAAACAUUUAUUGAAAGGAAACAAAUUGUACGAAUAAAUUUGAUCUGAAUUAA